rnacentral:rRNA from 1 species
UGAGCGGGAAAAGCUCAAAUUUAAAAUCUGGCGGUCAUGCCGUCCGAGUUGUAAUCUGGAGAAGCGUUUUCCGCGUCGGACCGUGUACAAGUCUUCUGGAACGGAGCGUCAUAGAGGGUGAGAAUCCCGUCUCUGACACGGACUACCGAUGCUUUUGUGAUGCGCUCUCGAAGAGUCGAGUUGUUUGGGAAUGCAGCUCAAAAUGGGAGGUAAAUUCCUUCUAAAGCUAAAUAUUGGCUAGAGACCGAUAGCGAACAAGUACCGUGAGGGAAAGAUGAAAAGCACUUUGGAAAGAGAGUUAAACAGUACGUGAAAUUGUUGAAAGGGAAACGCUUGAAGUCAGUCGCGUUGGCCGAGACUCAGCCUGGCUUGCCUGGUGUACUUCUCGGUCGACGGGUCAGCAUCAGUUUUGACCGUCGGAUAAAGGUUGGAGGAAUGUGGCAUCUCUCGGGAUGUGUUAUAGCCUCUGAUUCGCAUACGGCGAUUGGGACUGAGGAACUCAGCACGCCUUUACGGUCGGGGUUCGCCCACGCAACGUGCUUAGGAUGCUGGCAUAAUGGCUUUAAGCGACCCGUCUUGAAACACGGACCAAGGAGUCUAACAUGCCCGCGAGUGUUUGGGUGUCAAACCCGAGCGCGUAAUGAAAGUGAAAGUUGAGAUCCCUGUCGUGGGAG